ensembl:lncRNA
GGGAAGGGGAGCUGAGAUUUUCCAAGGACCUAGUUCAUAGCAGGCUGUUUCAUAGGUGAGGGUUAGGGUGGUGAUGUCACAGUCUGGGUGCCCGGUGAAGGAUGAGGUUCAACCUGCACUUAGCUAACCCCACUGGCCAAGAGGGAGAGAAGGAGGAGUGGAGGAGGCUGGAUGCCUGUGGGCCCGGGGAUGGGGAAGGAAUGGUCCGUGCUUUUCUGCGCUGCAGUGUGAGCGUGGGGGGCAGCAGUGACCCGGACAGGGCCUCGAAUGACGUGCCAGACAAGACAACUUCAUUCAGUUAGAAACUGAAAGAUUUAAACAACCACCAUUCAAAUUCUCAACUAAUUUUUUCAUGCUCCAAGGCCCUUUGCUGGACUCUCUUCCUAGAAAGGAAGGGGAAGAGACAUCGAUAUUGACUGACCUCCUACUGUGGGCGGGUCUCUGGGAAACGGAAAGAAGGGAGACAUACAUCCCGCCCUCAAGAGGCUCAGGUCCACAGGGAGAAGCAAGAGAAGGACAGGGGCUGCAGGACCCCGGAGGAGAGGCUGCUCCCUCAUCCUGAGCUCGACGCUGCUCAGAGCUUUGGACAAUGGGAAGGAGAUGGCUGAGCUGAGCCUUCUGGGCAGAGAUGCACCAAGGAAAGAAGCUGGGAGGGGUGUUCCAGGCGGAGGGUGCUGUCAGUAGGCCAGGCUGCCGCAGCCCCAAGGAGACGGGGAGUGGCCCCGAGGGGACGUGGCUGUUGGAAGCGCUGAGUCCAGGCUGCUCCAACAGAGGUCUCAUUAGAGAAGCACGGGGCCACCGCGACUCAGACGCCACUGAGGAGGGAUCUGUGGCCCUCGCUGGGAUGGAGGGGCUGGGGGCUCCGUCCGGGUCAUGAUGGUCGCAGGAGUUGGCGGUCGUGCCAGGAGCUGCACAGACUCAGGGCAGAGCUGCUGCCUUUAAAUCUCAUCAGGCGUGUUGGGGGCAGCGGGAGCAGAUGUGCCAUGGGGUGUGGCCCCUGGGAAGGCCUGAGACUGUCAUGGUCCUCAUGGUUGUUUGCACAGGGGUCAUUUGUGGGUAUGGUGUCCCCAGAGACGCCACCCCAUUUCAUUCCACAUCAUGCCCAGACUUUCUGUGUGGGGCCUUCGGUUUGGCACCGUGGGCCUCAGACCUGUCCUCCUCAAGGGUCACUCCAGCCUCUAAAAUCUCCCUCCUCCACCCCAACAUUCUUCUCCAUCUUCGAGGCUGUCCAUUCCUACGGUGCAUGGAUCUCGGCACAGUGCUCGUGCUUGGCAAUCAUCUGAUCUAGUUUUGGGUCACUUGCUGCAUGAUGUGUGGUAAACCUGCUCAGCUCUCUGGGCCUCGGUGUCUUUUACUGGGUCAGGAAACUGAGAGUCCCUGUCCUAGGGCCUCCCUUGCCCAGGUGUGGAAGAAUCAAAUGAGGUGAAGAACGGUGGCGAGCACAUUAUAAUUGUUGGAGGCAGCCCGGGGUGGGGAAGAAACGGCGUAGAUCCUGGCCCCUGGCCAUGGCCAACCCCUUCACUGCUGGGGCCUCAGAUCCUGGAAGUUCUUGCAGGGCAGGGGUCAUUGCCUGGCCCAUGGGGCCCUGCCUUGUCUGUUCUCUGCCUACUUCCCCAGACUCGCCUAGUGCUACUCCCCCUUUCUCUCUGCUCUCUGCACACAAGGAGGAAAUGAGUUCAGCACUCCCCUGCCUCAGGGCCUUGGCACAUGUUGUUCUUCUGCAUGGAGCACUCUACCCCAAACCGUUCCUCUGGCUUACUCCUCCUCAGCAUUCAGGUCCCAGCUUAAAGAUUAUUUUAGAGAGGGCUCCUUCACCCCCUCUCCUGUGGUAUGCUCUCUUUGCCCCUAGUAUCUUCUUUUCAAAGCUUUGUAAAGUGUAUGUUAAUGGAGUGGAGGUUCGUUUUGCCUGUCUGCCUCUGUGGACUGUAAACUGGAUGAAGUCAAGGAUAAGGUCUGUUUUGUUCACCACUGUCUUCCCUGUACCUCAUCCAAUGCUUGACCCACAAUCAAUGCCCAAUAAGUAUUUGUCCAACUGAGCGAAGGAGCUAUGCAGUCAGCUUGGAGGUCACUAUCAACGUGUCCGUGUGGCUUACAGGGAAACAAACUUGGAGAGGAGAGGCAUCUGGACCAGCUUCUCAGAGCUGAGGAGUAUAGUUGGGGCAUCAGUACAUCCUGAGGGCCUGUACUGGGAAUUGGGAGGGCAGAGAGAAUAAUCAGAGGGGCCCCAGGGAGGUCUGCCACCUU